UGAAAGAGAAUGUGGGUUUAAUUAGUGAUUGUUUUUUGUUGGUCAUUGUAAUAGGUUGAUAUCGAUCCGUUAUCCAUGAGCAUAUAUAACCACUAGCACUCAUCAUGUUCAAUGCACGAGAUAGAUUCAAGAAGUACUGAAUGGACUAUUUGGUUUGCGUGGAAGGUAUGUUUGCAUGUGAAACACAUUCAACAACUUCAAAUAAUAAAAUCAAAAACUAGACUGAGUGCAUGGAUUAUUGUUAAUUUCUUGUUCUAUUAGUACCUAUUUUCUGUUACUUUCUUUCUAGUUUUUAUCCUUUAGUAGAAUAUCAGACUUGUCCCUUUCUGUAAUCUGGCUUUUUGAAGUUGUGUAUUAAUUUUUGCCGAAUGCAGUAUUAAACAUUUAAUUUAUUUCAAUUUAUUAGGUAAGUUG
rnacentral:lncRNA from 1 species